AGGGCCAUCGCUCAACGGAUAAAAGGUACUCCGGGGAUAACAGGCUGAUACCGCCCAAGAGUUCAUAUCGACGGCGGUGUUUGGCACCUCGAUGGCGGCUCAUCACAUCCUGGGGCUGAAGUAGGUCCCAAGGGUAUGGCUGUUCGCCAUUUAAAGUGGGACGCGAGCUGGGUUUAGAACGUCGUGAGACAGUUCGGUCCCUAUCUGCCGUGGGCGCUGGAGAAUUGAGGGGGGCUGCUCCUAGUACGAGAGGACCGGAGUGGACGCAUCACUGGUGUUCGGGUUGUCAUGCCAAUGGCACUGCCCGGUAGCUAAAUGCGGAAGAGAUAAGUGCUGAAAGCAUCUAAGCACGAAACUUGCCCCGAGAUGAGUUCUCCCUGAGACUUUAAGUCUCCUGAAGGAACGUUGAAGACGACGACGUUGAUAGG
rnacentral:rRNA from 1 species